rnacentral:rRNA from 1 species
UACGUAGGGGGCUAGCGUUGUCCGGAUUUAUUGGGCGUAAAGAGCGCGUAGGCGGUCCGGUAAGUCGGUUGUGAAAGUCGGGGGCUCAACCCUCGGAUGCCGAUCGAUACUGUCGGGCUAGAGUCCGGAAGAGGCGAGUGGAAUUCCUGGUGUAGCGGUGAAAUGCGCAGAUAUCAGGAGGAACACCAAUUGCGAAGGCAGCUCGCUGGGACGUUACUGACGCUGAGACGCGAAAGCGUGGGGAGCAAACAGG